GCAACCACAGCCACAGCCCGAGUCUUGUCGCCGCCGUCCACCUUACCGCAGGCUCGCCGUCCAGCACGCCUCCGCGAGUCGUCCUCGCCACCCGCACAGCACCACCUUCGUCGGCUGACAGUCCGUCGCUGCCGCGCCGUACGCCGCCGCCCUACCUACUUCUCUCCUCUCCUUUUGGCGGAGAAUUCUUUGUGGGCGACUUUUGAAUUCGUUAAAGUGGCCUAUCAGUUUGUUUACACAAGUCUCUAAGGAUCAAUAAGCAUUGUCCAUCUGCAGGUUUGAAGAUGUUGCAUCAUUGGGAUCGGGAAUAGAGAGCUUGUAUUUAGUUUUGAUUUACUAAGUUGACUUGGGUUUGUUAAUUGGGACUUUAAACUUGUCGUACUAUUUAUAUUUCCUUAUUUUCGUUGGAUGAUUUUUGGGACUAAACCUGUAAUCGAUUAUUUAUAAACCUAAAGUUAGUUUUA